rnacentral:lncRNA from 1 species
CGUGACUGGCCUUGGACUUCUUCAUUCACAGAGGGGAAAAGGGUCAGAGAUAUGAGACAAUCUGCAAAGAGGAAGCCAUGCCCUUGGCAUAGAAGCCGCUUGUUCCUGGGAUAAAGAGGUGGAUUUGGAAGAGUAGGCCAAAGUUGGACAAUAAGCCAAGGGGGGAAACUGUUGAAGAGAGUCAAGAGGCUGAGGCCUUGAGCCUGCAUUUUGGGUGGCACCCAAAGAUGACAAAAGGAGAAACAUGUCAUAAACUAGGCUUCAAAUGGCGCUUUGGCAGAAAGUUGUUUUGCUGCCCAAACUGGCAUUUAAUAUUGGUUGAAAUGAAUAAGACAUGCCAGCCAUCAACUUUUUACCAUGUAAUUAACCAGCUCUGAAUAAGGACAUGUCUUUUUACUUUAGUGCUCUUUUGAAAAUGGGUAAUAAACAAAAUAUUCAAAAGUCACAAAAUAGUAUGGACCGUGAGAACAUUGUGCUAAGUGAAACAAACCAGUUACAAAAGGACAAACACUAUAUGAUUCCACUUGCAUGAGCUAUCUAGAGUAGUCAAAUUCAUAGAAACAGAAAGUAGAAUGGUGACUGCCAAGGGUAGGGGAAGUAUUAAGUACUUGUUUAAUGGCUAGGAAAAAGUUUUGGAGGCUGGUUGUACAA